rnacentral:pre_miRNA from 1 species
AAUAGUUUUAUGUCACAUCAGUACUCGUAUUCUGAAUUUCAAGAUUUUAUCUUGAAAAAAAUCAAAUCCAAAUUAAUAAAAUCCUAAAAUUCAGGAUAAGAAUACUGAUGUGGCAUAAAACUAUU